AGACACAGGGGAGCGACGAAUCACUGCCCGUAGAUGGUCACUUGGGCGGUGAGGAGCUAGUAGUGAAACCGACCCCACUGGGG
rnacentral:ncRNA from 2 species